CCUACGGGUGGCUGCAAUGGGGAAUAUUGGACAAUGGGGGGAACCCUGAUCCAGCCAUGCCGCGUGUGUGAAGAAGGCCCUCGGGUUGUAAAGCACUUUCAGUGAGGAAGAACGCCUGGUGGUUAAUACCCAUCAGGAAAGACAUCACUCACAGAAGAAGCACCGGCUAACUCCGUGCCAGCAGCCGCGGUAAUACGGAGGGUGCGAGCGUUAAUCGGAAUUACUGGGCGUAAAGCGCGCGUAGGUGGCUUGAUAAGCCGGUUGUGAAAGCCCCGGGCUCAACCUGGGAACGGCAUCCGGAACUGUCAAGCUAGAGUGCAGGAGAGGAAGGUAGAAUUCCCGGUGUAGCGGUGAAAUGCGUAGAGAUCGGGAGGAAUACCAGUGGCGAAGGCGGCCUUCUGGACUGACACUGACACUGAGGUGCGAAAGCGUGGGUAGCAAACAGGAUUAGAUACCCUGGUAGU
rnacentral:rRNA from 1 species